AGCGACAAACAGGGUGAGAGACCCUGUCGCCGAAAGUCCAAGGGUUCCUGCUUAAAGCUAAUCUGAGCAGGGUGAGCCGACCCCUAAGGCGAGGCCGAGAGGCGUAGUCGAUGGGAACCGGGUUAAUAUUCCCGGGCCAGGAGGAAGUGACGGAUCGCAGAGCUUGUCAUCCCUUAUCGGAUUGGGGUGGCCUGUGAGCGGUUCCUGGAAACAGCCCUCCAUCAGAUCGUACCCUAAACCGACACAGGUGGACUGGUAGAGCAUACCAAGGCGCUUGAGAGAACUACGUUGAAGGAACUCGGCAAAAUGCCUCCGUAACUUCGGGAGAAGGAGGCCCCGUUGGCGCGCAAGCGUUGGCGGGGGGCACAAACCAGGGGGUGGCGACUGUUUACUAAAAACACAGGACUCUGCGAAGCCCAAAGGCGACGUAUAGGGUCUGACGCCUGCCCGGUGCCGGAAGGUUAAAAGGAGGGGUGCAAGCUCCGAAUUGAAGCCCCGGUAAACGGCGGCCGUAACGAUAACGGUCCUAAGGUAGCGAAAUUCCUUGUCGGGUAAGUUCCGACCUGCACGAAUGGCGUAACGACUUCCCCGCUGUCUCCAACGUAGACUCAGCGAAAUUGAACUCCCCGUGAAGAUGCGGGGUUCCCGCGGUCAGACGGAAAGACCCCGUGCACCUUUACUACAGCUUCACACUGGCAUCAGGCCAGGCAUGUGCAGGAUAGGUGGCAGGCUUUGAAGCGGGGACGCCAGUUCCCGGGGAGCCUCCCUUGAGAUACCACCCUUGCCUUGCCUGAUGUCUAACCGCGGACCGUCAUCCGGUUCCGGGACCCUGUGUGGCGGGUAGUUUGACUGGGGCGGUCGCCUCCCAAAGAGUAACGGAGGCGCGCGAUGGUGGGCUCAGGUUGGUCGGAAAUCAACCGUCGAGUGCAAUGGCAUAAGCCCGCCUGACUGCGAGACUGACAAGUCGAGCAGAGACGAAAGUCGGCCAUAGUGAUCCGGUGGUCCCGCGUGGAAGGGCCAUCGCUCAACGGAUAAAAGGUACGCCGGGGAUAACAGGCUGAUACUGCCCAAGAGUCCAUAUCGACGGCAGUGUUUGGCACCUCGAUGUCGGCUCAUCACAUCCUGGGGCUGGAGAAGGUCCCAAGGGUACGGCUGUUCGCCGUUUAAAGUGGUACGUGAGCUGGGUUUAGAACGUCGUGAGACAGUUCGGUCCCUAUCUGCCGUGGGUGUCGGAGACUUGAGAGGAGUUGCCCCUAGUACGAGAGGACCGGGGUGAACUCACCACUGGUGGACCUGUUGUCGUGCCAACGGCAGUGCAGGGUAGCUAUGUGCGGACAGGAUAACCGCUGAAGGCAUCUAAGCGGGAAGCCCCCCUCGAAACCAGGUCUCCCUUGAGGGCCGUGGAAGACCACCACGUCGAUAGGUCGGAGGUGUAAGCGCAGCAAUGUGCUCAGCUGACCGAUACUAAUCGCUC
rnacentral:rRNA from 1 species